GGAGGUAUAGCUCAAUGGUAGAGCAUUUGCCUGGCCUGUGUGAGGCCCUGGGUUCAUUCCCCAGUACCCUA
rnacentral:tRNA from 1 species